AUGCAUCGGGCAUUUACGCAGUAAAUCCUUGAAGCGUUCCCAUGCUUCAUACAAAUUCUCAUCUUCCAACUGCUUGAAGAAUUCUAUUUCAUUCCUUAGCUU